rnacentral:lncRNA from 1 species
UUAAAAGGCCGGAAGGCUGAGAGCCGCUGCUCUAGGAGAACAGCAUAAGCCUGGGUUCUUCUGAUGGGCCUGAGCCGUGCGUGCUCUGCAGCGCUGAAAGUACAUUCAGGUGCUUCUGUGAGGGUCUCUGGUGCCCCGAGCAGCGCUAAGCCACUAAGCCUGUGUCCCACCAAAGGCUGGCAGGUAAAUUAAGCAGAUCCCUGGAAACAGGCCCCUUGAAGACUUGUUUGAGCUUAUGACUUGGAGCUGGCCUUAGGAGUAUAUUUGAGACUUGGAAGCACCCAACCUUACCUGGCCAUUUCAUAACCUUUCUGCAUUACCAGGACCCUCCACUACUCCCCAGCAGUUGACAAAUCUCAAUGUAUAAUUCUUGAGAAAACACUCAUUGUUGGUUGCAGCCUCGAGUAAACCACCCAAAAAGUCCCUAAUCCCACCUGCCUCGUGUGAAAUACUUAUAGUCAACUCAAAAGUGAUUGUGUAAACUUUUAAUAAUGGUGAACUGUUCUUCCAAAACUACCUGCUCCCUAGUGGAUUACCCAGUCGGUAAUUGGAAGUUUGUGCCGUCAUUAAAAAUGACAGCUUCUUCAGAUAGCUUGCUCAGAGCUUGUAAAAUGCAGAUAACCCAGCCUAUAUUUAACUUGUGUGCUGUGCAGUUCCCUUUCGGUGGUUAGGUAACCAACCGAUGGGCUGGUGCCUGGGAAAACUGGAGCCUCUCGCUGCAGGGAGCCAAGGCUCUACUCAAUGCCCUGCCUUCAGGUGAGUCCCAAGCAAGUGGACUUUAAAAAAAAAAAAUGAAGCUCUGAUUGGACUUUCCUCUGCUCUCUCCGUUGACACCACUGCUCAACUCGAGGCUUAUUUAUAGCUUCAGUCAGCCGUGGUGCAGAGGUCAUUUCUAUUGGCCUAAAAUUUUAGAGGCUUCUGGGCUUGCCUCGGGAAGCUGAUCAACCCUAAACAUAGGCUUGGGGUGCAGGGCUAGCCUUCUGCAGAUGCAAUUGUUCUCUUGCCCCACCCCACCCCCACCACUUCUACCUCUGGCCUCCUGCACUGUUUGUUUAAAAUCUGAGUAGUUUUAUAAGCUACAUCUCCAUAAAGC